rnacentral:rRNA from 1 species
GAGAGUUAAACAGUACGUGAAAUUGUUGAAAGGGAAACGAUUGAGGCCAGUCAUGCCUGCGAGAAAUCAAUUAGUCGAUCGGGUUCUUGAAUCUUUUUGGCUGGUGCACUUUUUCGCGUGGCAGGUUAGCAUCAACUUUGAUGGUUGUAAAAUGGUGGUCGGAAGGUGACUCUUUUUUGAGUGUUAUAGCCGACUGCAGAUGCAACGAUUGGGGUUGAGGUUUGCGGCAAAUGCCUUUGGGCUACUUACCUUCCUUCUGAUCUGUUCACUUUGAAAUGACAGCUUGCUGACAUUUUAGGGGGCGUUCAAUCAAUAGGGUAGAGUAGGAUAAAUUUGCCAAGGAUGCUGACGUAAUGACCUUAAACGA